rnacentral:lncRNA from 1 species
AAACCCACAGCAAAAUGUCUGGGCUGAGAACACAUGACUGCGUGUCCCUUAUGUCCCUUGGAACCUCGCGCAGGAGGAGGUCUCUGGGAGUGGCUCCUUCCAGCCCCGAAUUGGAGGAGUCGGGUCAGCCGCGAUGCUCCGGAGAAGCAGGUGGCCCCCACGAGGUGCCGGGGACCACAGACGCACCUUCUCUCCCCCUCACAGCAAAGCUGCGCGAGGUGCAGGAGCGUCCUCCUGCGUCCGUCCCUCUGCUGUCAGCUGGCCCCGCGGAGGGGAUGGUGCGGACGGCGGCAGGGAGGGCACGCAUCGUGGCCACACGAGGCGCCCGGGUGGAUAAGGAACCACUUGUGCUGCCCACGUGCCGCGCAGGUCGGGAUCGUACGAACACUCGGACGCAGGAAAAGCCCACGCUGGGAGCGCCCGGAAGGGUCUUCAACACCACCAAGAUUUUAAAUCUACAUUUGAGAGAGUUUUAGCCAGAUUCACGGAGGGUCAGGUCCCAGCUGUUUCCAGUUAUCGACACGGUAACGUCCAUACGUGAGCCGGUGACGACCAAACAGUUGAGGAAGGAACGAGGAGGAAAAGCCGGCGUCCCCAGCACCCGCCGGCUCAGCUCAGCUCAGCUGCCUCCUGUUUCUGGGUCUUCGCCUGAGUUGCCCCUGAGCUCCAGAGGCAACACACCGAUUUCAGGGGUUGCUCUGCACUGCUGACUCGUCUGCUGACGCCCGCCCGCUCCCAUCUUUGCUCAUUAUUGUUUUUGUUGCUUUUAAAACUUUAGGCAGGUUUAUGCGACUUCUACCCAGUUUAUAAUACAUCAUGAACUGGAUUAUGUGGGCACUGUCGUAUUUGUGUGUAUGCUGAAAAUUAUACAUUCCAUCCUUUCUUAACUAUUUCUCCUUUUUAAGUUUAUGUAUUUAUCUUGAGACGGGGCGGGGGUGGGGCACAGAGAGAGAGAAUCCCAAGCAGGCUCCACACUGUCAACACAGAGCCCGACGUGGGGCUCGAAUCCACUCGCCGGGAGAUCACGACCCGAGCCGAAACCAAGAGUCGGACACCCAACCGACCGAGCCCCCCCAGGCGCCCCGUUGUAACUAUUUCCAAGUGCCUGGUUUAGUGGUCGUGAGUAACAGCACUGCCGUCCGUCCCCAGGACGUGUCCACCUUCCCAAACUGAGACCUUGCGUCCACGUGGGACACUAACUGCCCAUCCCCCUCUCGUUUUUGGGUGACCCGCUUUUUGGGUGACCUGGUGAACGGGUUGGAGUGACCCACGCGGGGACUGUUUUCUCCAAACUCCGAGGAAGCGCACACGGUGUUGUAGGAGGUCAGGUGUGCCAGCUUCCCCUCCCCCUUGGAAGGGCGUCUCAGCACGCCCGUGCCGCUGGGCCCCCGGGGUGGCACUGCCCAUGAACGUGUUUUCAGAAAAUCGUUUCGUUGUGGUAAAAUACCCGUGACAUAAAAUUCGCCAUCCUAACCG